AAUCUAACUAUUAUUUGAAGUGCUUAUUUGGGUCUUUAAAUGGGUUUCAAAGUCUGGGUUUGAAUGCCAUAGAGUUACCUCUAAAGUCCCUGACUUGAUCUUUUGAUUUUGUUUCGCUAAGAGAUUUGAUUGUUAUUUGCCAUAUUUUUGCUUGUGCGGUUUCGCGUUUGAUUAUUUGUGACACAACAGUGGAAUUUAUGACUUUUUG
rnacentral:misc_RNA from 1 species